UUGAACGCUGGCGGCAUGCCUUACACAUGCAAGUCGAACGGCAGCGCGGGAGCAAUCCUGGCGGCGAGUGGCGAACGGGUGAGUAAUACAUCGGAACGUGCCCAAUCGUGGGGGAUAACGCAGCGAAAGCUGUGCUAAUACCGCAUACGAUCUACGGAUGAAAGCAGGGGACCGCAAGGCCUUGCGCGAAUGGAGCGGCCGAUGGCAGAUUAGGUAGUUGGUGGGGUAAAGGCUCACCAAGCCUUCGAUCUGUAGCUG
rnacentral:rRNA from 3 species